CACUUCGGUGCUGUGGUGGUACCAGAAC
rnacentral:SRP_RNA from 1 species